GAUGAACGCUAGCUACAGGCUUAACACAUGCAAGUCGAGGGGCAGCAUAACGAAAGCUUGCUUUUGUUGAUGGCGACCGGCGCACGGGUGAGUAACGCGUAUCCAACCUUCCCUAUAGUAGAGAAUAGCCCGGCGAAAGUCGAAUUAAUGCUCUAUGUUCUUCUUUGAUGGCAUCUGACGAGAAGCAAAGGUUCACCGCUAUAGGAUGGGGAUGCGUCUGAUUAGGUUGUUGGCGGGGUAACGGCCCACCAAGCCUACGAUCAGUAGGGGUUCUGAGAGGAAGGUCCCCCACAUUGGUACUGAGACACGGACCAAACUCC
rnacentral:rRNA from 1 species